AUUGAAGGGCUGAUUGCCACUGGGGAAGGAUGUUUUUUUGGAGUUCCCUUCUUGGUGGGGCUUUUCACUUAGAACCUGAAUCUUCUGAUGUGGAUCACCUAAGCAAAGCACAGAGGAAAAGUUUUUAGCAAAAUGAAAACUCCUUUGGAUAUUGGCAAAUGCAGUUUAAAAAGCAUGAAGAAGAAAUACUACGCUUACAGCAGGACUUCACGAUAUAAUCCCAUGAUAAAGCUAUUUCCUGCAAAACUGAGCAAGACUGAAGAACCUGUAAGCACAGAAAACAUAUGCCUCUGCACAGGGUUACUUGUUCCUCCAGAAUGUUCUUGCAUUGGCCUGCAGAGGACAGAAGCAGUGAAUAUCACUCAUCAGAAAUUCCUGCCAAGCUACAUACCUGACACCCAUGAAGAGAAUCAUCAUAAAAGGAUGGCCCCUCUGCUGCUGCUCUCCCCCCCGCCCCGAAGAGGUGUCUGCCAUCAGAUCCAUCACUACGAAAGGCCUGCAUGCUGACGGACUCUCCAGGGCCUGCUACAGGAGACCUGCUGCUUCUGCCCGGACAUCUUCCUGGACCUACUCAAUACCUGCACCUUCUCGCUGCCCAAAACCGACCACACUGCUGCUGCUCUUCCCCUGCGCUUUUGCCCCAGACCAUCGGAACAUCAUGCAAUGGGGCUACUGCUGGAUCCUGGUGGUGACUAUCCCCGCUUUACGCCAUUCUUGCUUCUUCCUAUCUUUUCUAUCGCUCACCUUCCCUUCCCCAUCACCCCAGUCUG